UACGUAGGGGGCAAGCGUUGUCCGGAAUCAUUGGGCGUAAAGAGCGCGUAGGCGGCCCUGUAAGUCCGCUGUGAAAGUCAAGGGCUCAACCUUUGAAUGCCAAUGGAUACUGCCGGGCUAGAGUCCGGAAGAGGCGAGUGGAAUUCCUGGUGUAGCGGUGGAAUGCGCAGAUAUCAGGAGGAACACCAAUGGCGAAGGCAGCUCGCUGGGACGGUACUGACGCUGAGGUGCGAAAGCGUGGGGAGCGAACAGG
rnacentral:rRNA from 1 species